UUUGCAGGGUAAGGAGAAGGCUUUGAAAGCAGAAAAACAGUGCCAUGGUCAUAAAGAAUUCUGAUAAUGCCAGUCAGAGAGCAUCUAAUGGCAGUUAACAUAGGCAAAUAUUCUUGUAGUUGUUUAAUGUAUUUUUAGUCUACUUACCUUCUGUGAGGAGAUGAAGCAACUUAAGAUGUCUUUUGCAAUUAGCAAUGAAUUCUUUGAAGAAGCUGGGGCUCAGCUAUUUCAGGAUUGAUUUUCGGGUAAAAUGGGGAUCAGAUAACACUUUGCAAAGCAAGAUUUCCUCAAGACUGAGAAAAAGAAACCUGGCUCUUAAGUGAGACCCAACUGUGCAAAGUGGAUGGCACAUCUGGACUGCCUG
rnacentral:lncRNA from 1 species